GGGAUGCAGUUGCAGGUGGCAGCAGGUCACAGCCAGGCAGUAGCCCCCACUGCCAGACUGCUGCAGUGGAUAGAGGGUGCAGGAGCCACUUUAGGUCAAGGCUGCUACAGCAGUCCAGCUGGCACAGGGGGGUAGUGUCCCCAUAUGUCAACUGGCCAGGCCUCAGAAGCUCCUGAGAAC